AGUGAACGCUGGCGGUAGGCCUAACACAUGCAAGUCGAACGGCAGCACAGUAAGAGCUUGCUCUUACGGGUGGCGAGUGGCGGACGGGUGAGGAAUACAUCGGACUCUACUUUUUCGUGGGGGAUAACGUAGGGAAACUUACGCUAAUACCGCAUACGACCUACGGGUGAAAGCAGUGGAUCUUCGGACCUUGCGCGAUUGAAUGAGCCGAUGUCGGAUUAGCUAGUUGGCGGGGUAAAGGCCCACCAAGUCGACGAUCCGUAGCUGGUGUGAGAGGAUGAUCGGCCACACUGGAACUGAGACACGGUCCAGACUCCUACGGGAGGCAGCAGUGGGGAAUAUUGGACAAUGGGCGCAAGCCUGAUCCAGCCAUACCGCGUGGGUGAAGAAGGCCUUCGGGUUGUAAAGCCCUUUUGUUGGGAAAGAAAAGCAGCAGGUUAAUACCCCGCUGUUCUGACGGUACCCAAAGAAUAAGCACCGGCUAACUUCGUG
rnacentral:rRNA from 1 species